rnacentral:rRNA from 1 species
AUUGAACGCUGGCGGCAUGCCUUACACAUGCAAGUCGAACGGCAGCACGGGUGCUUGCACCUGGUGGCGAGUGGCGAACGGGUGAGUAAUACAUCGGAACAUGUCCUGUAGUGGGGGAUAGCCCGGCGAAAGCCGGAUUAAUACCGCAUACGAUCUACGGAUGAAAGCGGGGGACCUUCGGGCCUCGCGCUAUAGGGUUGGCCGAUGGCUGAUUAGCUAGUUGGUGGGGUAAAGGCCUACCAAGGCGACGAUCAGUAGCUGGUCUGAGAGGACGACCAGCCACACUGGGACUGAGACACGGCACAGACUCCUACGGGAGGCAGCAGUGGGGAAUUUUGGACAAUGGGCGAAAGCCUGAUCCAGCAAUGCCGCGUGUGUGAAGAAGGCCUUCGGGUUGUAAAGCACGUUUGUCCGGAAAGAAAUCCUUGGCCCUAAUACGGUCGGGGGAUGACGGUACCGGAAGAAUAAGCACCGGCUAACUACGUG